GGCUCAGGAUGAACGCUGGCGGCGUGCCUAAUACAUGCAAGUCGAGCGAACGGACGAGAAGCUUGCUUCUCUGAUGUUAGCGGCGGACGGGUGAGUAACACGUGGAUAACCUACCUAUAAGACUGGGAUAACUUCGGGAAACCGGAGCUAAUACCGGAUAAUAUUUUGAACCGCAUGGUUCAAAAGUGAAAGACGGUCUUGCUGUCACUUAUAGAUGGAUCCGCGCUGCAUUAGCUAGUUGGUAAGGUAACGGCUUACCAAGGCAACGAUGCAUAGCCGACCUGAGAGGGUGAUCGGCCACACUGGAACUGAGACACGGUCCAGACUCCUACGGGAGGCAGCAGUAGGGAAUCUUCCGCAAUGGGCGAAAGCCUGACGGAGCAACGCCGCGUGAGUGAUGAAGGUCUUCGGAUCGUAAAACUCUGUUAUUAGGGAAGAACAUAUGUGUAAGUAACUGUGCACAUCUGACGGU
rnacentral:rRNA from 1 species